rnacentral:rRNA from 1 species
CGGGUGAGUAACACGUGGAUAACCUACCUAUAAGACUGGGAUAACUUCGGGAAACCGGAGCUAAUACCGGAUAAUAUUUUGAACCGCAUGGUUCAAAAGUAAAAGACGGUCUUGCUGUCACUUAUAGAUGGAUCCGCGCUGCAUUAGCUAGUUGGUGAGGUAACGGCUUACCAAGGCAACGAUGCAUAGCCGACCUGAGAGGGUGAUCGGCCACACUGGAACUGAGACACGGUCCAG